rnacentral:rRNA from 1 species
AACGAACGCUGGCGGCAGGCUUAACACAUGCAAGUCGAACGGUUGUAGCAAUACAGCAGUGGCAGACGGGUGAGUAACACGUGGGAACCUUCCUAGGGGUACGGAACAACUCAGGGAGACUUGAGCUAAUACCGUAUACGUCCGUGAGGAGAAAGAUUUAUCGCCCUUAGACGGGCCCGCGUAGGAUUAGGUAGCUGGUGGGGUAAUGGCCUACCAAGCCUACGAUCCUUAGCUGAUCUGAGAGGAUGAUCAGCCACACUGGGACUGAGACACGGCCCAGACUCCUACGGGAGGCAGCAGUGGGGAAUCUUGGACAAUGGGCGAAAGCCUGACGCAGCGACGCCGCGUGAGGGAUGACGGCCU